rnacentral:rRNA from 1 species
CUGAGAGGAUGACCAGCCACACUGGAACUGAGACACGGUCCAGACUCCUACGGGAGGCAGCAGUGGGGAAUAUUGCACAAUGGGCGCAAGCCUGAUGCAGCCAUGCCGCGUGUAUGAAGAAGGCCUUCGGGUUGUAAAGUACUUUCAGCGGGGAGGAAGGGAGUAAAGUUAAUACCUUUGCUCAUUGACGUUACCCGCAGAAGAAGCACCGGCUAACUCCGUGCCAGCAGCCGCGGUAAUACGGAGGGUGCAAGCGUUAAUCGGAAUUACUGGGCGUAAAGCGCACGCAGGCGGUUUGUUAAGUCAGAUGUGAAAUCCCCGGGCUCAACCUGGGAACUGCAUCUGAUACUGGCAAGCUUGAGUCUCGUAGAGG